ACAGGAGGAGCAAAGAGUCUUCGCUGUGCUUUGGAGACAGAGAAGCCAUCAGCCACGUGAGAUCUCGGGUUCCCGUGACUCUAUAUUCCAGAUAACAGACAGGCCUGUUCAGUGGAGAGAGUCAAGCCAUUGAAAAGAGUCGUCCUAAUUUGCAUCAUAAAACAGUAAUUUGUCACAGUAAAGGAAAGCUGACUAAUGCAGGGGCAUUGCGCGCAAUUCUACAAACCAACCAGUGUAUUUCAUCUUUCUGGCUAUAGUGAUUAGUGAAGUGAGCAUAUGACUUUGGGCCAGCCAAUCAAAAUGGACCCCUUGACCUUUUAGGGGCUUCUGGGAGAAGACUGUUCUCCUCUUUUUACAGUGAAUGAAAAGAGUAAGUUGACAGCCAUUUGGGACCUACAAGGCAAGCCAGAACUGGAAAAACAAAACCAAACAAAAAUUACAACCAACCACCAUCACGAACAAAAAUCCCCUAACAACAACAACAACAACAACAACAACAACAACCACAACCACUACCACGACAACCACACAACAACAACAAUGAAAGGCAGCAAGAAACCAGGUCUCGGUUAUGGGUAUCAUUAAAGAAGGGGAGAACUGAAGACCGACUUGUUUAGAGAAAGGCACUGAGAUGUGUUGAAGACACAUCUUGAAGAGCUAUGGUUCUCCGCUAAACAUAGCCCUAGCAACAUCUUGCAAAGCCUCAGUUUGUCCUCAGGUCUGUCUGAUCCCAAAACUGGAGUUCUUUUUCUUGUCAUAGUGACAAGUCUCAGUGUGUAUCUCGGUUGUGCACAUGUAUGGAGGGCAGAGGACCACUUGCAGGAGUCUUCUCUUUCCACCAUGUGUCAGGCUUGCUGUUAAGUGCUUUUACCUGCCGAACCAUUUCACAGGCCCGUUUCACUUUAUUCUCUUUUCAAGAGGGUGUAUACGGAUGCGCGUGCGAGUGGGAGUGUGCAUGUGUGUGUGUAUUUGUGUGUGCGCAUGUAUUUGUGUGUGUUUUACUGGGGAUGGAAUCCACUACUUUGCUCAGAAGAGGUAAGCUUUUUUGCCAUUGAACCAUAGCGGAAGUCCUCGGUUUCAGAGCUCAAGUGCCUGCUGUUGCUGCGAAAGUGCGAUCUACUCCCUAGCCCUCUCGAGGAUGGAGAGCAUUUGCUACAGGCAGCUGCGCUUGAGCGACUCCAAACAAACACAUAAUCUUCCCACUGGGUAAUUGCUGAUGAUAAUUGAGAGAACAUUUUAAUUUGUUACCACGGAUGACAAGGGGGAGAGUGUGCUUUGCUUUCAGAGAUCACCAAAAAGAAAAAAUACAAAACAAAACAAAACCCCAAAACACCUAAACAACGCCUCUGUUCUUGUCUACAUUCUCAUCACAUAAGGUGCAUGCUCCUGAUCUUUACUGCCUUAUUCUGACAGACACACAUGAAGCGUCUCCCUGCAUUUAGUGCCACAUAGCAACAUUAGCAGUUACAAAUCCAGCGUGAGUCACAAAUGCGAACCACAGAGACCAUUUAUUUACUGACUUUUUUUGGUUUUAGAAUGGUUUUUUACUUUAUAGUCCAGGCUAGACUGAAACUCACUGUCUCUCCUUCUGAAAUGCUGGGAUUACAGGUGUGUAGUACUAUGCUAAGUUCUUUGAGACCAUUUAAAAUGUUCUGAUAAGGAGCCUGGAGAGAUGGCUUGGUGGUUAAGAGCGCUGGGUGC